AGGGCUUGGCAGCCAUCCCAGUCUCCAUCUUCUGUAAUGUGCAACAUCAGAUGCCCUUUGACCACUAUGUCCGCUUCUGUUUUGCAAAGGAUGAAUCCACACUCCGGGCCAUGGACGAGAAGCUACAGCAGUGGAAGUCUGAUCUCAGACCCUGACAUCACCCCUGGGCCCUGCCCUGUCUGGUUCCUAUGCACUCCUUGGGUGUCUGUCCUGGUCCAGGUUUCAGCCACUCCCAGGUCGGGAGAAAAUGGAUGGUACAGGGUACCCCUUCUCUAUGACAUGGAAUAUUCCCAGGGAAAGCCCCCCUUUUUGGUCUUGGGGGAGUCGGGAGUCACCUCCCCAUAGUGCCUAUACUCCUGUCUUGGAGGUGAAGGCCUGUCCUCAGCCUCUCCCUGCACCUCCCUAGGACCGGUCGUUGUGCCUUGGGUUGUUUCUGGCCUCCCCAGACUUGGCUGGGGCUGAAGGAGCAGAGUCCAACAGUGUAUAGGACUUCAAGUCCCAUCCCUGUCCUGGCCCCAGCUAAGGCUCAGGCCUUUCCUUAUCUCACCUUGAACUUCGAAAUUUGCCUUUAUGGUUGAGUCCUUAAGCCCGUCCUUUUUGCCCAUAAUAAAGUUUUAAGUUAUGCAAACCCUUA